rnacentral:rRNA from 1 species
UUAAUAAAGAGUUUGAUCCUGGCUCAGGACGAACGCUGGCGGCACGCUUAACACAUGCAAGUCGAACGGACGAUUCAGAGCUUGCUCUGAAAAGUUAGUGGCGGACGGGUGAGUAACACGUGAGCAACCUGCCUUUAAGAGGGGGAUAACGUUUGGAAACGAACGCUAAUACCGCAUAAUAUAUCAGUAUCGCAUGGUAUUGAUAUCAAAGAUUUAUCGCUUAAAGAUGGGCUCGCGUCUGAUUAGCUAGUUGGUGAGGUAACGGCUCACCAAGGCGACGAUCAGUAGCCGUACUGAGAGGUAGAACGGCCACAUUGGGACUGAGACACGGCCCAGACUCCUACGGGAGGCAGCAGUGGGGAAUAUUGCACAAUGGGGGAAACCCUGAUGCAGCGAUGCCGCGUGAGGGAAGAAGGUUUUCGGAUUGUAAACCUCUGUCUUAAGGGACGAUAAUGACGGUACCUUAGGAGGAAGCUCCGGCUAACUACGUGCCAGCAGCCGCGGUAAUACGUAGGGAGCGAGCGUUGUCCGGAAUUACUGGGUGUAAAGGGAGCGCAGGCGGGACUGCAAGUCAGAUGUGAAAUGUAUGGGCUCAACCUAUAACGUGCAUUUGAAACUGUAGUUCUUGAGUGAAGUAGAGGUAAGCGGAAUUCCUAGUGUAGCGGUGAAAUGCGUAGAUAUUAGGAGGAACACCAGUGGCGAAGGCGGCUUACUGGGCACUAACUGACGCUGAGGCUCGAAAGCAUGGGUAGCAAACAGGAUUAGAUACCCUGGUAGUCCAUGCCGUAAACGAUGAUUACUAGGUGUGGGGGGAUAGACCCC